ensembl:lncRNA
AUGAGAGUGGAGAAACAGGCUGUGCAGCUGCUUGGAGCUCAAUUUCUUCAACCAGAUAACCAGUCCAGGUCCCGAAGGCACCUGAUGGACCCCCCGGUCCCCCCCGCCCUCCCACCCGGCCCCCACAGCGCAUCUCAAUUCGACCGACCCUUCACAGCUCUGCCCGAACCGCCCAUCACCAACUCCAGACAGCGCCUGCUGCGCCGUGACUCAGCUUCCUCCGGCAUCCAGGAAGGAGUGUUGGGCAGAGAUCACCCCCCCCCCCCCCUCCCCUCCCCCCCCCCCCCCCCCCCCCCUCCCCACGAACUGCUGAGCUCAUGCCACCCCGCUCUUGUUUCCAGUAACAGUUUCUCUUUCUUCCGUGCGUGUUCCCUUUUCCCGUGAAACUCGAACGCUUUGAGUAACAAACGCUUGCGUCACGACUCGCGCUGCGGCUCGGCUGUUGUUUUUGUGGCUGACAGGGACCCCCGGCCCCCGCUUCGUGCGCUCCCCUCUCAGCGUGCUGAUUCGCUUAAAGGACUCGGCGACCCAGAAGGUAUCUGCUUUGUGAAAGGGCCGAAAAAAGCCGCUGCGCUCCACGUGCGCUCCACGCUUACGAGUGGCGUGGAGAGGCAGACGACCAUGCCGACGGAAGCCUUUCGCCGGGCCAUGCUGUGCACAAUCACACCAGGGAGGAGAGAUUCAGUUCCAUAUAUGAGGCCCGCGUGCAGACGCGGUGCGCGCAUGCCCAUUUUUAGACUCCGUUCUGUGGAGCUCGGCCACGACGACCCAACUAGGAGUUGUUUACAGAAGCUCUCUGGUGCUGAUUCAACGCAGACAUACGUCUCCCCCCCGCCGCCGCCACAAAAAUGGCACCAAACAACCUCUACCACAUAGAAUAGAAUUAUAGAAUGGAAGGAUUUGUAAAGCACCGAGUUGCUGAAAAAGGCUGAAAUGGGUCCCCAGCGGACGCACUGGACUCAAAAGUCACCGCAGCCAACUGUCGGCCCGAAGCUGAAACGACAUCGCGAAGAUUUUAACGCCUCUAUUUAUUAUGUAGAGGCUUGUUUGACAGAGUUUUGGAGACUUGACGUACAUCCUGGCUGAAGAGAACUCCAACCACAACACACAUUCUCUCCAUUAGAGGCCCAUAACACGGCCCCAUAAACACGGAGCGAGCCGAGUGGCGGAUCCGUUACAUAACAGCAGAAACAGGCCAAAGCUUGAAUCAUCAAUGUCGCUUUCUUUCUCCAGCAGAGCAUCAAGACGCAUACCUCCACUUUCCCUCACACACUUCUGUAUUACAUGUAUAUAUUGUAUGUUUGGUAUUUUCUUUGUCUACUAAAAUAAGUACAAAUACAUGCUUUAAUGAUAAAAACACAUUAUUCUUAUCCUAUUGUCAUUUUGAAUGAACCUCUAUUCACCAUAAACAAGCCAACGGAUCAUAAUGGUACUUUCUGAAUUAUUUGCUGCUCAUUCACAGAUAGUAAAAUGUACUUCUUGGAAGGUGGACAAUAAUAUUGUAUUGUUUGCUAUUCUCUUUUCUGCUCAAUGGACCCAAACCUUCUGCAGCACAGAGAGAGCAAAAGGUUUCAUACAUCACUUU